GCCGCGUGAGUGAGGAAGGUUUUCGGAUUGUAAAGCUCUGUCGAGCGGAAAGAAGUGCAUGGUGGUUAAUAUCCAUCAUGCUUGACGGUACCGCUAAAGGAAGCACCGGCUAACUCCGUGCCAGCAGCCGCGGUAAUACGGGGGGUGCAAGCGUUGUUCGGAAUCAUUGGGCGUAAAGCGCGUGUAGGCGGCUGGACAAGUCAGAUGUGAAAGCCCUGGGCUUAACCCAGGAAGUGCAUUUGAAACUGUUCAGCUAGAGUAAGGGAGAGGAAAGUGGAAUUCCUGGUGUAGAGGUGAAAUUCGUAGAUAUCAGGAGGAACACCGGUGGCGAAGGCGACUUUCUGGCCCUAUACUGACGCUGAGACGCGAAAGCGUGGGUAGCAAACAGGAUUAGAUACCCUGGUAGUCCACGCUGUAAACGAUGUUCACUAGGUGUUGGGGGUAUUGACCCUUCCAGUGCCGCAGCUAACGCAUUAAGUGAACCGCCUGGGGGAGUACGGUCGCAAGAUUAAAACUCAAAGGAAUU
rnacentral:rRNA from 1 species